AUUGAACGCUGGCGGCAGGCCUAACACAUGCAAGUCGAACGAGCGGCGGACGUGUGAGUAAUGUAUGGGAAUCUGCCUGAUGGAGGGGGAUAACUACUGGAAACGGUAGCUAAUACCGCAUACCAUCGGAUGUGCCCAUAUGGGAUUAGCUAGUAGGUGGGGUAAUGGCUCACGUAGGCGACGAUCCCUAGGUGGUCUGAGAGGAUUACCAGCCACACUGGAACGUAGACACGGUCCAGACUCAGACGGGAGGCAGCAGUGGGGAAUAUUGCACAAGGGGCGCAAGCCUGAUGCAGCCAUGACGCGUGUAUGAAGAAGGCCUUCGGGUUGUAAAGUACUUUCAGCGGGGAGGCGUUACCCGCAGAAGAAGCACCGGCUAACUCCGUGCCAGCAGCCGCGGGAAUAC
rnacentral:rRNA from 1 species